rnacentral:rRNA from 1 species
UGAAUCGAAACAAAACUUUCAACAACGGAUCUCUUGGUUCUGGCAUCGAUGAAGAACGCAGCGAAAUGCGAUAAGUAAUGUGAAUUGCAGAAUUCAGUGAAUCAUCGAAUCUUUGAACGCACAUUGCGCCCCCUGGUAUUCCGGGGGGCAUGCCUGUC